GCAUGGCUUUAGGAAACUCAUUACAUCCCAAUCCACCUCAGUCAAGAAUUUCAACGUCCUCCACUCCAGUGAUACCAAACAGCAUUGUUAGCAGCUAUAAUCAAACAAGUUCUGAAGCAGGUAUGAUUUUAUUAGAAAAAAGUACCCAAAGGUACUAAAGUUUUCUACAGUUUUUAAAUUUUUGUACCAAAAUAUUUAUUAUGAUAAUAGAUGUUCCUUUCCCCAUUGUGAAUAUUUUCUUCAUUUCUUUAGUAUUUAUAAUUUUAUUUACAGAAUGAUAGGGACUUGUCUUUUAGAAAGAAUACCAACUAAGGGGAUUCCAUGUGUUCUUGUUAUUUGUUGUCCAUCUGUGUCAUUUUGAAUAUUGUUUGACUUUCAAUUGAUUUCAUAACCAUUGGACUGUACACUGCAAAGGAAGCCGUGGAAGGCAAGGUGUCCUGGUCCAUGAGAUGUGUCCUUGGCUUACACCAAUAUGGAAGUUGUUUCCCUAGCUUUGGUUUGUACACAGGUAAAUGAAGCUCAUCUUGGAAAAUCCAGAAAGGCCAAAAGAAAUGGAUUUCUUUUUUUCUUGCUGCUCAACAGAAAUAGGUCACUGGGUAGGAAAGGGUCACUAGCGACUAUGUGAGUAGGAGGCUGUCUUCUAAUGUGUUUCUCACCCUAGUCUGCUCUCCUUUGCUAUUUGUUCGAGAAAAUUCAGACAUGGAUAUUGGCUACUUCCUUUUUAAAAAAUAAUUUAAAUUUUCUAAUAAAAUGAGGCUUGAAAACCUGAUUUCUAGAAUUUUUUAUCAUGGAAUUGCUUUAAAAUUUCUCAUAGAACCGAACUAUAUUUUUAGCAUCCAUAUUAAGGUUUUGGACCCAAAUUAUUCUAAAUAUUCAUGCACCAUUAAUGGAUACAAGUUUGUACAGAAAUAACACAUUAGAAAAACUGUGUUUUACACAAUAAAAUCUUUAGAAAUCAUUAUAAAAACUAUUCCUGGAACACUAGAGAGGUAAAUCAUUGAAGCAACAGAAAAGAUGAUCGUGGAAGCAUUAAAGAAAAUGCUCAAAAUGUAACAUGAUUUCAGACUUGUAGGAACCGACAAGGAGGAAAUAAAAGAGGGCAGGGACACUAGCAUUCAUAUUUAAAAUGAGCAGGAUUUAAAAACUAAACCAUCAGAGGUUGGGGUUAGCUCAGUGGAAGAGCCCUUGUCCAGUGUACACAAGACCUUGAGGUCAAUCCCAGCACCACGAAAUAAAUAAAAACCAGAUCACUAGUCAUGAUGAGAAAACUGCUGACACCUUUGCUAGUAUGUUACCGUGUAGAUGUGUAGGCUGCAUAUACCACUGUGUGGGAAAUGUUACCAUCCACAUGUCUGUUAAAGGUAAAGUCAAGGGUUUCCUGCUGUUCCCACCUUACACUGCCAUCUUUCACCGUUUGUGUUUUGUGUUGUUUGGAUGUCAGUAUUCUAUGAAGAACUGCACAAUGAUCUCCUGUGUUUAAAAAAAAAAAAAAGAAUGCAGGCUUGAAAUGAUUUGAAGUAACUAGUGCCUUGUUAAUAUUCUUAGUUUGAGGACCCUCGUGAAACUUUAUGUGUUUAAAGGUGCAUAAUGGGCUUCCAACUUCUCGCUGACUCAUGCUGUUUUAGCUAAUACUGUACAAAUAAAAGUUUUAAUAUAUGCACUUAGAAAUUAAAACAACAGUAAGUCCGUAAGUGUUUUAAGAUGUACUAUAUUUAUUGAGCAUGCCUUCAGUCAUUUGAGUAAAGCAUUGUUAGCC
rnacentral:lncRNA from 1 species